GUUGUAUGGUUAAGUGACUAAGCGUACAUGGUGGAUGCCUUGGCAGUCAGAGGCGAUGAAGGACGUACUAACCUGCGAUAAGCUGUGAGAAGUCGGUAAGAGACGCUAUUACUCACAGAUUUCCGAAUGGGGAAACCCACCCGAGAUAACUCGGGUAUCUGUUACUGAAUACAUAGGUAACAGAGGCGAACCGGGAGAACUGAAACAUCUAAGUACCCCGAGGAAAAGAAAUCAACCGAGAUUCCCUCAGUAGCGGCGAGCGAACGGGGAUUAGCCCUUAAGCAUCUUGGAAGUUAGUGGAACGGUCCUGGAAAGGCCGGCGAUACAGGGUGAUAGCCCCGUACACGAAAACAACCUUGAUGUGAAAUCGAGUAGGGCGGGACACGUGACAUCCUGUCUGAAUAUGGGGGGACCAUCCUCCAAGGCUAAAUACUCCUGACUGACCGAUAGUGAACCAGUACCGUGAGGGAAAGGCGAAAAGAACCCCUGUGAGGGGAGUGAAAUAGAACCUGAAACCGUGUACGUACAAGCAGUGGGAGCCCUUCGGGGUGACUGCGUACCUUUUGUAUAAUGGGUCAGCGACUUACAUUUUGUAGCGAGGUUAACCGUAUAGGGGAGCCGUAGGGAAACCGAGUCUUAACUGGGCGUCUAGUUGCAAGGUGUAGACCCGAAACCGGGUGAUCUAGCCAUGGGCAGGUUGAAGGUUGAGUAACAUCAACUGGAGGACCGAACCCACUAACGUUGCAAAGUUAGGGGAUGACCUGUGGCUGGGGGUGAAAGGCCAAUCAAACUCGGAGAUAGCUGGUUCUCCCCGAAAGCUAUUUAGGUAGCGCCUCGGACGAAUACUACUGGGGGUAGAGCACUGUUUGGGCUAGGGGGUCAUCCCGACUUACCAACCCCAUGCAAACUCCGAAUACCAGUAAGUAAUAUCCGGGAGACACACGGCGGGUGCUAACGUCCGUCGUGAAGAGGGAAACAACCCAGACCGCCGGCUAAGGUCCCAAAGUUCUGGUUAAGUGGGAAACGAUGUGGGAAGGCUCAGACAGCUAGGAUGUUGGCUUAGAAGCAGCCAUCAUUUAAAGAAAGCGUAAUAGCUCACUAGUCGAGUCGGCCUGCGCGGAAGAUGUAACGGGGCUCAAACCAGGCACCGAAGCCGCGGAUUCACACUUAUGUGUGAGUGGUAGGGGAGCGUUCUGUAAGUCUGCGAAGGUGUAUCGAGAGGUAUGCUGGAGAUAUCAGAAGUGCGAAUGCUGACGUAAGUAACGAUAAAGGGGGUGAAAAGCCUCCUCGCCGGAAGACCAAGGGUUCCUGUCCAACGUUAAUCGGGGCAGGGUGAGUCGACCCCUAAGGCGAGGCCGAAAGGCGUAGUCGAUGGGAAGCAGGUUAAUAUUCCUGCACGACUUGUAAUUGCGAUGGGGGGACGGAGAAGGCUAGGUGGGCCAGGCGACGGUUGUCCUGGUGAAAGUGCGUAGGUGGUGUUUCUAGGCAAAUCCGGAGACACAACACUGAGACACGAGACGAACACACUACGGUGUGGAAGCCAUUGAUGCCCUGCUUCCAGGAAAAGCCUCUAAGCUUCAGAUUACAAGUCAUCGUACCCCAAACCGACACAGGUGGUCGGGUAGAGAAUACCAAGGCGCUUGAGAGAACUCGGGUGAAGGAACUAGGCAAAAUAGAACCGUAACUUCGGGAGAAGGUUCGCUCUUGACAGUGAAGUCCCUUGCGGAUGGAGCAGUUGGGAGUCGCAGUGACCAGAUGGCUGGGACUGUUUAUCAAAAACACAGCACUCUGCAAACACGAAAGUGGACGUAUAGGGUGUGACACCUGCCCGGUGCCGGAAGGUUAAUUGAUGGGGUUAGCGCAAGCGAAGCUCUUGAUCGAAGCCCCGGUAAACGGCGGCCGUAACUAUAACGGUCCUAAGGUAGCGAAAUUCCUUGUCGGGUAAGUUCCGACCUGCACGAAUGGUGUAACCAUGGCCAUGCUGUCUCCACCCGAGACUCAGUGAAAUCGAAUUCGCCGUGAAGAUGCGGUGUACCCGCGGCUAGACGGAAAGACCCCGUGAACCUUUACUACAGCUUGGCACUGAACAUUGAACCUACAUGUGUAGGAUAGGUGGGAGGCUUUGAAGGCGUGACGCCAGUUGCGCUGGAGCCGUCCUUGAAAUACCACCCUUGUAUGUUUGAUGUUCUAACGCAGGGCCCUGAAUCGGGCUCGCGGACAGUGCCUGGUGGGUAGUUUGACUGGGGCGGUCUCCUCCCAAAGAGUAACGGAGGAGCACGAAGGUUGGCUAAUCCUGGUCGGACAUCAGGAGGUUAGUGCAAUGGCAUAAGCCAGCUUAACUGCGAGACGGACAGGUCGAGCAGGUACGAAAGUAGGUCAUAGUGAUCCGGUGGUUCUGAAUGGAAGGGCCAUCGCUCAACGGAUAAAAGGUACUCCGGGGAUAACAGGCUGAUACCGCCCAAGAGUUCAUAUCGACGGCGGUGUUUGGCACCUCGAUGUCGGCUCAUCACAUCCUGGGGCUGAAGUCGGUCCCAAGGGUAUGGCUGUUCGCCAUUUAAAGUGGUACGCGAGCUGGGUUCAGAACGUCGUGAGACAGUUCGGUCCCUAUCUGCCGUGGGCGUUGGAUGAUUGAAGGGAGUUGCUCCUAGUACGAGAGGACCGGAGUGAACGAACCUCUGGUGUUCGGGUUGUCACGCCAGUGGCACUGCCCGGUAGCUAAGUUCGGAAUCGAUAACCGCUGAAAGCAUCUAAGCGGGAAGCGAGCCCUGAGAUGAGUCAUCCCUGACCCCUUGAGGGUCCUAAAGGGCCGUUGGAGACCACAACGUUGAUAGGUGGGGUGUGUAAGCGCGGUGACGUGUUGAGCUAACCCAUACUAAUUACCCGUGAGGCUUAACCAUACAACACCCAAGAAGUGUUCU
rnacentral:rRNA from 1 species